rnacentral:rRNA from 1 species
UUUAAAAGGCCGCAGUAUAUUAACUGUGCAAAGGUAGCAUAAUAAUUAGUUUUUUAAUUGAAGGCUGGUAUGAAUGGUUGGACGAAAUAUUAACUGUUUCAUUAAAAUUUAAAUUAGAAUUUAAUUUUUUAGUAAAAAAGCUAAAAUUAAUUUAAAAGACGAGAAGACCCUAUAAAUCUUUAUAUUAGGUUUAUUAUUAUUUUAUUUAAUUUAGUAUUAUAAUAAAUUUAUUAUUUUAUUGGGGUGAUAUUAAAAUUUAAUAAACUUUUAAUUUUAAUUAUACAUUUAUUUAUGAGUUAUUGAUCCAUUAUUAAUGAUUAAAAAAUCAAGUUACUUUAGGGAUAACAGCGUAAUUUUUUUGGAGAGUUCUUAUUGAUAAAAAAUAUUGCGACCUCGAUGUUGGAUUAAGAUAUAAUUUUAGGUGUAGUUGCUUAAAUUUUGAGUCUGUUCGACUUUUAAUUUCUUAC